rnacentral:lncRNA from 1 species
UCUUUGAAGGAUUAAAUUUGACUAGAGGCAAAAGAAGUUUAUUUGACGUGAAAAGAUAAUUUCAGUUCUAAUGCAGCUCUAACUUUUUUUCCAGCUUUUUAAAAAUUCCUCAAACAAUUUCCUGGAAACAUCAUCAUACUCCAAUGAAAGCGAGCUGGAAUGGAAUGUAUCAAUACCCUACUUUGUAGUUUUAUUAAGGUUUCCAAUUCCUGAUUUAAGAAGUGCAAAUGACAUGGACAAACCGCCUUGGUGGCAGAGACGGAUACGGCCUGAUUCCAUGCACCUCCAGUUGAUCGAUGUCAAUGUCCGUAGUCAUGCUUCCACCCGGCAGCCAGCCAGCAGUUAUGAAUUGCAGUGUCGUCACAUAAAUGUCCUCUUUCAGGAAGAUACAAACCCUCUAGUGCCAAUCGCUAAAUUCUACAUGGAUGAUAAAAGUAAUGACUUCACAAGUUCGAAUAUUGCAAAAGAUUUAGAAUUAUUGAGAAUCGUAGCAAGAAUUUACCCUGCGGUUCCAGUCAGUGAAUUAGAAGAUGAUCUCUCUUACAUGAACGAACCUGCUUCAAUGGCUCAAUCUUUCUAUAUCAAAUCAGAUAGUAGUGAACCCUCUCUCUUCAGCUCUCAAAAAGUCGUUCGAGGCAAUGAAGGGAUAAGUAACUAUUCUCAGGAAAAGCGAUGA